rnacentral:rRNA from 1 species
GUGGGGAAUAUUGGACAAUGGGCGAAAGCCUGAUCCAGCAAUGCCGCGUGAGUGAUGAAGGCCUUAGGGUUGUAAAGCUCUUUUACCAGGGAUGAUAAUGACAGUACCUGGAGAAUAAGCUCCGGCUAACUCCGUGCCAGCAGCCGCGGUAAUACGGAGGGAGCUAGCGUUGUUCGGAAUUACUGGGCGUAAAGCGCGCGUAGGCGGUUUAUCAAGUCAGGGGUGAAAUCCCGGGGCUCAACCCCGGGACUGCCCUUGAAACUGGUUCACUAGAAUCCUGGAGAGGCGAGUGGAAUUCCGAGUGUAGAGGUGAAAUUCGUAGAUAUUCGGAAGAACACCAGUGGCGAAGGCGACUCGCUGGACAGGUAUUGACGCUGAGGUGCGAAAGCGUGGGGAGCAAACAGGAUUAGAAACCCGGGUAGUCC